rnacentral:rRNA from 1 species
GUGUCAGCAGCCGCGGUAAUACGAAGGAUGCGAGCGUUAUCCGGAUUUAUUGGGUUUAAAGGGUGCGUAGGCGGCCUUAUAAGUCAGUGGUGAAAUCCUAUCGCUUAACGAUAGACGUGCCAUUGAUACUGUAGGGCUUGAGUACAGAUGCCGUUGGCGGAAUGUGUCAUGUAGCGGUGAAAUGCAUAGAUAUGACACAGAACACCGAUUGCGAAGGCAGCUGACGAAACUGUAACUGACGCUGAGGCACGAAAGCGUGGGGAUCAAACAGGAUUAGAUACCCGCGUAGUCC